rnacentral:rRNA from 1 species
UACAGAGGUGGCAAGCGUUGUUCGGAAUUACUGGGCGUAAAGGGCGCGUAGGCGGCCUUCUAAGUCGAACGUGAAAUCCCCGGGCUCAACCCGGGAACUGCGUCCGAUACUGGAAGGCUUGAAUCCGGGAGAGGGAUGCGGAAUUCCAGGUGUAGCGGUGAAAUGCGUAGAUAUCUGGAGGAACACCGGUGGCGAAGGCGGCAUCCUGGACCGGCAUUGACGCUGAGGCGCGAAAGCCAGGGGAGCAAAGCGGG